AGUGAACGCUGGCGGUAGGCCUAACACAUGCAAGUCGAACGGCAGCACAGUAAGAGCUUGCUCUUACGGGUGGCGAGUGGCGGACGGGUGAGGAAUACAUCGGAAUCUACUCUUUCGUGGGGGAUAACGUAGGGAAACUUACGCUAAUACAGCAUACGACCUACGGGUGAAAGCAGGGGAUCUUCGGACCUUGCGCGAUUGAAUGAGCCGAUGUCGGAUUAGCUAGUUGGCGGGGUAAAGGCCCACCAAGGCGACGAUCCGUAGCUGGUCUGAGAGGAUGAGCAGCCACACUGGAACUGAGACACGGUCCGGACUCCUACGGGAAGCAGCAGUGGGGAAUAUUAGACAAUGGGCGCAAGCCUGAUCCAGCCAUACCACGUGGGUGAAGAAGGCCUUCGGGUUGUAAAGCCCUUUUGUUGGGAAAGAAAAGCAGCAGGUUAAUACCCCGCUGUUCUGACGGUACCCAAAGAAUAAGCACCGGCUAACUUCGUG
rnacentral:rRNA from 1 species